rnacentral:rRNA from 1 species
GAUGAACGCUAGCGGCAGGCCUAAUACAUGCAAGUCGAACGGGUGGCUUCGGCCAUCAGUGGCGCACGGGUGCGUAACGCGUAUGUAACCUACCUUCCACUGGGGGAUAGCCUCCCGAAAGGGAGAUUAAUACCGCAUAACACAGCUUGAGGGCAUCUGAGGGCUGUUAAAGAUUUAUCGGUGGAAGAUGGGCAUGCGUGCCAUUAGCUAGUUGGUGGUGUAACGGACCACCAAGGCGACGAUGGCUAGGGGUUCUGAGAGGACGGGCCCCCACACGGGCACUGAGAUACGGGCCAGACUCCUACGGGAGGCAGCAGUAGGGAAUAUUGGGCAAUGGGCGGAAGCCUGACCCAGCCAUGUCGCGUGCAGGAUGAAGGCGUUAUGCGUUGUAAACUGCUUUUAUACAGGAAGAAACGACCCUUGCGAGGGGCAUUGACGGUACUGUAUGAAUAAGCACCGGCUAACUCCGUGCCAGCCACCACCGUAACAC